rnacentral:rRNA from 1 species
GUUUGAUCCUGGCUCAGGAUGAACGCUAGCUACAGGCUUAACACAUGCAAGUCGAGGGGAAACGACAUCGAAAGCUUGCUUUUGAUGGGCGUCGACCGGCGCACGGGUGAGUAACGCGUAUCCAACCUGCCCAUCACUUGGGGAUAACCUUGCGAAAGUAAGACUAAUACCCAAUGAUAUCUCUAGAAGACAUCUGAAAGAGAUUAAAGAUUUAUCGGUGAUGGAUGGGGAUGCGUCUGAUUAGCUUGUUGGCGGGGUAACGGCCCACCAAGGCGACGAUCAGUAGGGGUUCUGAGAGGAAGGUCCCCCACAUUGGAACUGAGACACGGUCCAAACUCCUACGGGAGGCAGCAGUGAGGAAUAUUGGUCAAUGGGCGAGAGCCUGAACCAGCCAAGUAGCGUGCAGGAUGACGGCCCUAUGGGUUGUAAACUGCUUUUAUAAGGGAAUAAAGUGAGUCUCGUGAGACUUUUUGCAUGUACCUUAUGAAUAAGGACCGGCUAAUUCCGUGCCAGCAGCCGCGGUAAUACGGAAGGUCCGGGCGUUAUCCGGAUUUAUUGGGUUUAAAGGGAGCGUAGGCCGGAGAUUAAGCGUGUUGUGAAAUGUAGACGCUCAACGUCUGCACUGCAGCGCGAACUGGUUUCCUUGAGUACGCACAAAGUGGGCGGAAUUCGUGGUGUAGCGGUGAAAUGCUUAGAUAUCACGAAGAACUCCGAUUGCGAAGGCAGCUCACUGGAGCGCAACUGACGCUGAAGCUCGAAAGUGCGGGUAUCGAACAGGAUUAGAUACCCUGGUAGUCCGCACGGUAAACGAUGGAUGCCCGCUGUUGGUCUGAAUAGGUCAGCGGCCAAGCGAAAGCAUUAAGCAUCCCACCUGGGGAGUACGCCGGCAACGGU